AGCGAACGCUGGCGGCAGGCCUAACACAUGCCAGUCGAACGAACCUUUCGGGGUUAGUGGCGGACGGGUGAGUAACACGUGGGAACGUGCCUUUAGGUUCGGAAUAACUCAGGGAAACUUGUGCUAAUACCGAAUGUGCCCUUCGGGGGAAAGAUUAAUCGCCUUUAGAGCGGCCCGCGUCUGAUUAGCUAGUUGGUUGAGGUAAUGGCUCACCAAGGCGACGAUCAGUAGCUGGUCUGAGAGGAUGAUCAGCCACAUUGGGACUGAGACACGGCCCAAACUCCUACGGGAGGCAGCAGUGGGGAAUCUUGCGCAAGGGGCGAAAGCCUGACGCAGCCAUGCCGCGUGAAUGAUGAAGGUCUUAGGAUUGUAAAAUUCUUUCACCGGGGACGAUAAUGACGGUACCCGGAGAAGAAGCCCCGGCUAACUUCGUG
rnacentral:rRNA from 1 species